rnacentral:rRNA from 1 species
GUUGCCAGCAUGUAAUGUGGGGACGUCUAGACAGACUGCCUGCGCAAGCAGAGAGGAAGAGGGGAUGACGUCAGGUCAUCAUGGCCCUUACGCCCAGGGCGACACACGUGCUACAAUGGCGCAUACAGCGGGUAGCUACCUGGCAACAGGAUGCCAACCUCUAAAAGUGCGUCUCAGUUCGGAUCGGGGUCUGCAACUCGACCCCGUGAAGCUGGAAUCGCUAGUAAUCGCGCAUCAGCCAUGGCGCGGUGAAUACGUUCCCGGACCUU